rnacentral:rRNA from 1 species
GAUGAACGCUGGCGGCGUGCCUAAUACAUGCAAGUCGAGCGAACGGACGAGAAGCUUGCUUCUCUGAUGUUAGCGGCGGACGGGUGAGUAACACGUGGAUAACCUACCUAUAAGACUGGGAUAACUUCGGGAAACCGGAGCUAAUACCGGAUAAUAUUUUGAACCGCAUGGUUCAAAAGUGAAAGACGGUCUUGCUGUCACUUAUAGAUGGAUCCGCGCUGCAUUAGCUAGUUGGUAAGGUAACGGCUUACCAAGGCAACGAUGCAUAGCCGACCUGAGAGGGUGAUUGGCCACACUGGAACUGAGACACGGUCCAGACUCCUACGGGAGGCAGCAGUAGGGAAUCUUCCGCAAUGGGCGAAAGCCUGACGGAGCAACGCCGCGUGAGUGAUGAAGGUCUUCGGAUCGUAAAACUCUGUUAUUAGGGAAGAACAUAUGUGUAAGUAACUGUGCACAUCUUGACGGUACCUAAUCAGAAAGCCACGGCUAACUACGUGCCAGCAGCCGCGGUAAUACGUAGGUGGCAAGCGUUAUCCGGAAUUAUUGGGCGUAAAGCGCGCGUAGGCGGUUUUUUAAGUCUGAUGUGAAAGCCCACGGCUCAACCGUGGAGGGUCAUUGGAAACUGGAAAACUUGAGUGCAGAAGAGGAAAGUGGAAUUCCAUGUGUAGCGGUGAAAUGCGCAGAGAUAUGGAGGAACACCAGUGGCGAAGGCGACUUUCUGGUCUGUAACUGACGCUGAUGUGCGAAAGCGUGGGGAUCAAACAGGAUUAGAUACCCUGGUAGUCCACGCCGUAAACGAUGAGUGCUAAGUGUUAGGGGGUUUCCGCCCCUUAGUGCUGCAGCUAACGCAUUAAGCACUCCGCCUGGGGAGUACGACCGCAAGGUUGAAACUCAAAGGAAUUGACGGGGACCCGCACAAGCGGUGGAGCAUGUGGUUUAAUUCGAAGCAACGCGAAGAACCUUACCAAAUCUUGACAUCCUUUGACAACUCUAGAGAUAGAGCCUUCCCCUUCGGGGGACAAAGUGACAGGUGGUGCAUGGUUGUCGUCAGCUCGUGUCGUGAGAUGUUGGGUUAAGUCCCGCAACGAGCGCAACCCUUAAGCUUAGUUGCCAUCAUUAAGUUGGGCACUCUAAGUUGACUGCCGGUGACAAACCGGAGGAAGGUGGGGAUGACGUCAAAUCAUCAUGCCCCUUAUGAUUUGGGCUACACACGUGCUACAAUGGACAAUACAAAGGGCAGCGAAACCGCGAGGUCAAGCAAAUCCCAUAAAGUUGUUCUCAGUUCGGAUCGUAGUCUGCAACUCGACUACACGAAGCUGGAAUCGCUAGUAAUCGUAGAUCAGCAUGCUACGGUGAAUACGUUCCCGGGUCU